GAAAAGAAAGAACAAGAACCCUAGGGUGAAAAUUCAAGAGAAAUAUUGGUGGAUUCCAAGUAAUCAAGCAAUCAAAGGUAAAAUUUCUUGAUUUUGACUUGUGAUCUACCUUUCCCAUGCAUUAUUUUGCAUUUUCCAUGGUUGAAUCACAAGAUGUCAUGAAGGAUUCAUGGCUAGUCGAAUGCGUAUGGAGAGAGAAUGAUG
rnacentral:lncRNA from 1 species